rnacentral:rRNA from 1 species
GAUGAACGCUGACAGAAUGCUUAACACAUGCAAGUCAACUUGAACUUCGGUUUGGGUGGCGGACGGGUGAGUAACGCGUAAAGAACUUGCCUCACAGAUAGGGACAACAUUUGGAAACGAAUGCUAAUACCUGAUAUUAUGAUUAUAUGGCAUCGUAUAAUUAUGAAAGCUAUAUGCGCUGUGAGAGAGCUUUGCGUCCCAUUAGCUAGUUGGAGAGGUAACGGCUCACCAAGGCGAUGAUGGGUAGCCGGCCUGAGAGGGUGAUCGGCCACAAGGGGACUGAGACACGGCCCUUACUACUACGGGAGGCAACAGUGGGGAAUAUUGGACAAUGGACCAAGAGUCUGAUCCAGCAAUUCUGUGUGCACGAUGAAGUUUUUCGGAAUGUAAAGUGCUUUCAGUUGGGAAGAAAAAAAUGACGGUACCAACAGAAGAAGUGACGGCUAAAUACGUG